GUGACGGAAGUGACGCCAAGCUUCCGCCAGGCGCACGGUAUGGUGAGAGGGAAGGGACAAUCUAAUAGGGGAUGGUGACGCGAGCGCGGGGAGGAGCUGUGGCGACUGGAGAACGGCAUCUGGAUAGAGUCCAAGUUAGACUUGAGCGUCGCCCAGCCCUCCACGGUUUGUCCCCUGCAGCAGCGGGGCAGAACGCUGCCCUGUUUUUCCGCGUCUUUUGGAACCCAACACUGGCUCCCCGGAAGUCCCAAGCAUCUCCUUCAGGAUUUAGUCCUUGCUCGUUUUCUCCCCUAAUUUCGUAGGACCCUCUUCCAGAUGUAAACUGUUUCCUGUAUUAAUUUCGUGUCUCAUCUUGGCCCAGCACCCUUUUUUGGCAAAUGUGAGACCCGAGACCCAAAAAGCGGAAAAGAUUUUCUAAGGCUACAUGGCAAGUUGGAACCAGCUGAGAACUCCGGAGGCAGGGGGCGGGGUCGGGGGAAUGGAGAAAGGACUUCAUUAGCUCUCAGAAUAUCUGAGUAUACAGCUACUGUGUCCUCAGCAUGUGCUAGGACAGUGGUUCACAACGUGUGUGUCUGGACCACCGGCAGCCACAUCACGUAGGAACUUGACUAGACGUGAAGAUUCUCAGAUCCCAUCCCAGAACCACCAAAUCAGAAAUUGUUGGGAGUGCGGCCCAUAAUCAGCAUUUUGAUUAUCUGGGGGGGCAUGCAGUGACGGAGACAAACUGAUCAUUCAUUCUUUCAUAGAAUGUUGGAAGAAUACCUAGCCCGAGAUCCAAGACAGAAUAGUCCAAAGGAUUUUCUACAUAUGUGAUCAUAUCAUCUGUAAACAGCUGCCCGAGACAGAAGCAAAAGAAGGGAGAGAAGUGAAGGCAUGGAAGGACCUUUCCCAAAUAUCACUGGACCCCCACUUGUGUUAUGACCACCCAUACCAGGGUGCUCUCAAAAGCAGCUGGCUGUACUAUAAUCACCUUGAAGGAGGCUACCCAGGGGGCAGAGAUAGUGCCUGUUCUACCACUGUGUUUUCCAGCACGCAGCACUGGGCCUGGCACCGAGCACACCCCCAAUCCGUAUGAGUGAAAGAAUGGGGCCCGAACCCGCCCCGCCACGCUUCCCUUCCCUCCCCCACAGGCAGCCAGCCCCUCAGAACAGUCAGAAACCACAGCAAUAAAGUGGGCUCAGAGGGUGUCACAGGGACCUGUGAAAACCCUUCACAAAUGACUUUUUUUUUGGUCUAACCCUCCCAACUGCCUAGCCCCAGGCAAGUACCAGCAAACCAGUUAGUUAAAUGACUCAUUGACUUGCUAAUGAGAUUGCUCUUGGGCCAGUUAAAGGAGACAAUCAAAAGAACUGUCCCCAGGGAGAGAGAAAACAAGCUUGGCAAAAUGCUGAAGCAUGCUGAAGCCAGGUGACUGGUUCUAGGAGUGCAUUAUAAUAUUCUCUUUUGUGGAUAUUUGCAAAUGUUCUUAAUAAACAGUGAAAUUUAAAAAAUUAAA